rnacentral:rRNA from 1 species
UACGGAGGGAGCUAGCGUUGUUCGGAAUUACUGGGCGUAAAGCGCGCGUAGGCGGCUUUGUAAGUUAGAGGUGAGAGCCCGGAGCUCAACUCCGGAACUGCCUUUAAAACUGCAUCGCUUGAAUCCAGGAGAGGUGAGGUGGAAUUCCGAGUGUAGAGGUGAAAUUCGUAGAUAUUCGGAAGAACACCAGUGGCGAAGGCGGCUCACUGGACUGGUAUUGACGCUGAGGUGCGAAAGCGUGGGGAGCAAACAGG